AAAAAAAAAAAAAAAAGAAUAUAUGGGCUACAGAGGAAAUAUCACAGACUCACAAAUGAAAGUAGAUUUGUAUAUGUUUUUAAAAUUUAUAGUAGAGAAGUGUUCUCAUGAAUGUAUGUGUGAUUAACCUUUUAUAGAUCAGAUGAUCCCAUCAGAAUCCAAACAAAAGGACAAAGAAGAAAAUUCUUGGGAUUUAGAGAGUGACCGUGAGACUGUUUCACAGAAGGAUGUCUGUUUACCCAAG